AAAGGGGAGGCGAACAGCAGCGAUGAACGUGGCGGCGCGUGAGAGGAAAAGCAGUGGUGGAUCGGAACCUCGCGAGGGAGAACGGUGGGUCGUGGCGGCGCGAGAGGACGCGGCGCAACAGAUCCAACAACGUGCGUGGCGGUGGCUAGCAGAGGAGCGUGGUGGAGGCGAUUUAGAAGGAAGGAAGGAGGAAGGGAGGUGGUGGUGAUCACGAAGGAGAAGGAGGUGGUGAUGGUGGUGCAGCCAUGGGAGAGAAAGGGAGUGGCCACUGGUUCCUCCUCCUCCAACGGCCCCAACCCUAACGCAGCAGCAGAGGAGUUAAGACCAGCGUGCUGGAAAAGGAACCGGUUGAUUUUUGGCCUCUUAUUCUUGAUUUCCCUCAUAUUUGUUACCUCUGAUUCACAAUUUCUCUCUCGAAGGAAGCUCCUCACCGAAGCCACAAUGUCUACUACCUCACGCAGGCUUCUCCCAAUCCAAUUCUACUACCUAUUUGCACUGCAAUAUAUCCCCCCCUGAGAAAGACACUUUCCAGUUCUGCAGCAAGCAAAGAAACAAUCAUGGCAGCUCCAACAGAUUUUUUGGAUCCAAGACAGCGCCCCCAAUAAUAAAGAUCCCAUGAUCAGCAAUCUAAUGUGGAUGCCCUUUCGAGUUAGCAACAAGCAACUUUGGGCGAAAUGUAGACAGAAUGGAGUAUAAUGAUAUAGAAGUUUCAUUUUCUUCCUCAGCACCUUAUGCUUCAGAGUCAAAAAUUCUGGAUUGAGAUUUUAGUUGCAUAAAGGUUAGAAAAAUUUGUAGAGCCCUUUUUUUUCCCUUCCUUUUUCAAUGCUUAAUGUUAUCUUGAAUUCUAUCUUGCAAUUAUUGUAUUUUAUUUUAGACUUUAUCCCAAGGCUAAGGCAACAAUUCAGAGUUGGUGUUUUGAGAAACGAAAAUUUCAUAGUGGAAUAUAUAGUAUGUAGGUUUUAGCAAGCACAUAAAAUUUAAGAUUGUGUCAACUUUGAGCAAUUACUUAUGUUCUUUUUCAAUAGAUAAUUCCUAUGUUAGCUAGAAUGUUGCAAUUUUCAUU